UUCGCGGACGAUUUCACAUCACCAGUGGUAGCUAUCCUUGAUCACACCAUGUUCACUUGGCUGAUGCUCUCCUGCCUCUUAGGCUUCUCCCUGGCUGAGGUUCAGGAUUACCAAAUAUGUUACAAGGGAAACAGCCGCUGAAAACAGCUGCAUGAAAGUGGAUGUAGACCGCCUUGCCAUGAAAAUUCACUUCCACAUGCCUGAAUCCGACGACUUCGAUGACGUGGAAACUCUGGAGGAUU
rnacentral:lncRNA from 1 species